GCGCGAAAGCCUCUUGAAUCCAUUAUUAGAAGAUACAUAUAGAAUUAGUCCCAUUUUGAAAUAUGAAAUUUGUAAUUUCGAAAAUAAUACUCCAGUGAACCCUCUUAGCACUAAUAUUCUGAUGGCUCAUCAAAUGAAUCAGACAAGGUUGGGCGACUCAUGCGAUGGAAAUUUUUAGCGGCAUAUACAUGAUUUUGCAAGAAUGGUGGAAUUUCAUCUUCGCACACCUCGGGUAGUUCUUUCCAAUCAAAUAACUUCUCUACGCUACUUAGCCAAUCAAGAAAGUCCUCAGGAUGCAAGGAUGCAAUCGGCCAUGGAAAGUUCUACUUUAUUCUUACAUACACACUAAUAUGAUGAGGAACUUACUUUAGCAAAAAUAUAUAGACAAUAAUGUUCAUUAAAAAGAAGGGUAAGACAGCUGAGAACGGCGCAAGGAUGUUAAACUUGAUGAUGUGGUUUUCAAUUUUGUCCAAAUAUAUGCCAAACUGUACAAGUAAGGAAGGAAUAUGAACAAUACAUAGAGAUACUUUCAUAUGGAAAUUGUGGUGUAUGCAUUGGAGGUGCUUCUCCCUUUUUUCCAUAUUUCAAUCAAAAUGUGCCCAAAUGCCUAAGCAUUUUUAAUCUUGCCUACCGCUGAGUGGUGCUAGAACCCGUCACCCAUCCUGGUUCAUAAAUAGUUUUCG